GGAGCCAUUUUGGAAGAAAAUGGGGCAGUCUAGACACACUGUUUAAUUUGACCGGGGAAAGAAGAAAGCCACUCCAAGCCACUGCACACUCCCGCCCAGAUUUGUGUGAAGCCAGUAAACAACAGAGACCCAUAUCAGUGGGCUGUGGUGAGCUCCUAGAAUGUUAGCACAGCCUCCUAUCCAGAGUCACAUUCCGUGACACUUAGAGGCCUACAGUGAGUGGGAGAAAAUCCUCAGAACUGGGAACUGGACACAACGGUGUCAUGUUUACUGGUGAAGACUGUGUGAGAAGCAGCAGCAGAGCCGAACCAUGUGUGAAGUGAAGUAGGUUCCAGAGGUGCCAUCUGCUCAUUCUUGGUGACUCUUGGAGAUAUUACAGGAUUUUUUGGUGAUUUUUUUAGCAUUUUAUUUUGUAUUGCUUUUCCUUUAUUUUUUUUAGGUCUUUUUGCAGCCGGGGUUCCCCUAACCCCCUGUUUCCCAUAGACUUUAAUUCCUUGCCAACUGCAAAUUUGCCAACAGCAAAGUUUUGCCAGAACGGAACCCUAGCAUUUGGCAAGGGAUGAUUGUAUAUUUAUAAAGCUCAUUUCCCCACUUCUGUUUUGUGAUCCCUUUGUGGACAGGGAACCAUUUUACUUAUUAUGUAUGUAGUUUCCUAUGUAAACCACUUUGAGAACAUUUGUUGAAAAGCAGUAUAUAAAUAUGUGUAGUAGUUGUUGUAUAUGUUUAAGAUCGGAACAUUAAAAUGAAACACCUCAUUAUUUUUAUUUCAGAAAUCUUCCAGAGAGACAAAUUUCACUCUUCCAGAAAUGUACUUUGCCCCU